UNUGACUUGAGUGCAGAAGGGGAGAGUGGAAUUCCAUGUGUAGCGGUGAAAUGCGUAGAUAUAUGGAGGAACACCAGUGGCGAAAGCGGCUCUCUGGUCUGUCACUGACGCUGAGGCUCGAAAGCGUGGGUAGCGAACAGGAUUAGAUACCCUGGUAGUNCACGCCGUAAACGAUGAGUGCUAGGUGUUAGGCCCUUUCCGGGGCUUAGUGCCGGAGCUAACGCAAUAAGCACUCCGCCUGGGGAGUACGACCGCAAGGUUGAAACUCAAAGGAAUUGACGGGGGCCCGCACAAGCGGUGGAGCAUGUGGUUUAAUUCGAAGCAACGCGAAGAACCUUACCAGGUCUUGACAUCCCGAUGCUAUUCUUAGAGAUAGGAAGUUACUUCGGUACAUCGGAGGCAGGUGGUGCAUGGUUGUCGUCAGCUCGUGUCGUGAGAUGUUGGGUUAAGUCCCGCAACGAGCGCAACCCUUAUUGUUAGUUGCCAUCAUUAAGUUGGGCACUCUAGCGAGACCGCCGGUAAUAAACCGGAGGAAGGUGGGGAUGACGUCAAAUCAUCAUGCCCCUUAUGACCUGGGCUACACACGUGCUACAAUGGUCGGUACAACGAGUUGCGAGCCGGUGACGGCAAGCUAAUCUCUGAAAGCCGAUCUCAGUUCGGAUUGGAGGCUGCAACUCGCCUCCAUGAAGUCGGAAUCGCUAGUAAUCGCGGAUCAGCACGCCGCGGUGAAUACGUUCCCGGGCCUUGUACACACCGCCCGUCACACCACGAGAGUUUGUAACACCCGAAGUCGGUGAGGUAACCUUUUAGG
rnacentral:rRNA from 1 species